GAAUAUUGGACAAUGGCGGCAACGCUGAUCCAGCCAUCCCGCGUGCAGGAUGACGGCCCUACGGGUUGUAAACUGCUUUUGGAAGGGAAGAAACCCCUGGAUUUAUCUGGGGCUGACGGUACCUUCAGAAUAAGCACCGGCUAACUCCGUGCCAGCAGCCGCGGUAAUACGGAGGGUGCAAGCGUUAUCCGGAAUCACUGGGUUUAAAGGGUGCGUAGGCGGCUUAAUCAGUCAGGGGUGAAAUCUUCCCGCUUAACGGGAAACCUGCCUUUGAUACUGUUGAGCUUGAAUUAGGUUGAGGUCGGCGGAAUGUGGCAUGUAGCGGUGAAAUGCAUAGAUAUGCCAUAGAACACCAAUUGCGAAGGCAGCUGACUAGGCCUGAAUUGACGCUGAGGCACGAAAGCGUGGGGAGCGAACAGG
rnacentral:rRNA from 1 species